rnacentral:rRNA from 1 species
CCUACGGGUGGCAGCAGUGGGGGAUAUUGCACAAUGGGGGAAACCCUGAUGCAGCGACGCCGCGUGGGCGAAGAAGUAUUUCGGUAUGUAAAGCCCUAUCAGCAGGGAAGAAGAAAUGACGGUACCUGAGUAAGAAGCACCGGCAAAAUACGUGCCAGCAGCCGAGGUAAUACGUAUGGUGCAAGCGUUAUACGGAUUUACGGGGUGGAAAGGGAGCGCAGGCGGCACGGCAAGCCUGAUGUGAAAGCCCGCGGCCCAACCGCGGGACUGCAUUGGGAACUACCGGGCUGGAGUGCCGGAGAGGUAGGCGGAAUUCCUAGUGUAGCGGUGAAAUGCGUAGAUAUUAGGAGGAACACCAGUGGCGAAGGCGGCCUACUGGACGGUGACUGACGCUGAGGCUCGAAAGCGUGGGGAGCAAACAGGAUUAGAUACCCGAGUAGUC